rnacentral:rRNA from 1 species
CCUACGGGAGGCUGCAGUGAGGAAUAUUGGUCAAUGGACGCAAGUCUGAACCAGCCAUGCCGCGUGCAGGAAGACGGCUCUAUGAGUUGUAAACUGCUUUUGUACGAGGGUAAACGCAGAUACGCGUAUCUGUCUGAAAGUAUCGUACGAAUAAGGAUCGGCUAACUCCGUGCCAGCAGCCGCGGUAAUAAGGAGGAUUCAAGCGUUAUCCGGAUUUAUUGGGAUUAAAGGGUGCGUAGGCGGUCGGAUAAGUUAGAGGGGAAAUCCCGAGGCUCCAAUUCGGAAGUGCCGCUGAUACUGUUCGGCUAGAGAGUAGUUGCGGUAGGCGGAAUGUAUGGUGUAGCGGUGAAAUGCUUAGAGAUCAUACAGAACACCGAUUGCGAAGGCAGCUUACCAAGCUACUUCUGACGUUGAGGCACGAAAGCGUGGGGAGCAAACAGGAUUAGAUACCCGGGUAGUC